AGAAUCAACGCUGGCGGCGUGCCUAACACAUGCAAGUCGAACGAGAAAGUGGAGCAAUCCAUGAGUAAAGUGGCACACGGGUGAGUAACACGUGACUAACCUACCCUUGAGUGGGGGAUAACCUAGGGAACCUGGGCUAAUACCGCAUAAUACCUUCGGGUCAAAGGAGCAAUUCGCUUAAGGAGGGGGUCGCGGCCGAUUAGUUAGUUGGCGGGGUAAUGGCCCACCAAGACUGUGAUCGGUA
rnacentral:rRNA from 1 species